GACGAACGCUGGCGGCGUGCUUAACACAUGCAAGUCGAACGGAAAGGCCCUGCUUUUGUGGGGUGCUCGAGUGGCGAACGGGUGAGUAACACGUGAGUAACCUGCCCUUGACUUUGGGAUAACUUCAGGAAACUGGGGCUAAUACCGGAUAGGAUCUCCUGCUGCAUGGUGGGGGUUGGAAAGUUUCGGCGGUUGGGGAUGGACUCGCGGCUUAUCAGCUUGUUGGUGGGGUAGUGGCUUACCAAGGCUUUGACGGGUAGCCGGCCUGAGAGGGUGACCGGCCACAUUGGGACUGAGAUACGGCCCAGACUCCUACGGGAGGCAGCAGUGGGGAAUAUUGCACAAUGGGCGGAAGCCUGAUGCAGCAACGCCGCGUGCGGGAUGACGGCCUGCGGGUUGUAAACCGCUUUCGCCUGUGACGAAGCGUGAGUGACGGUAAUGGGUAAAGAAGCACCGGCUAACUACGUG
rnacentral:rRNA from 1 species